GUGCUCGCUUCGGCAGCACAUAUCCGAAAAUUGGAAUGGUACAGAGUAUAUGAGCAUGAGCCGUGCACAAGGAUGACAUGCAAAUUCGUGAAGCGUUCCAUAUUUUU